ensembl:misc_RNA Metazoa_SRP Metazoan signal recognition particle RNA
GCCGGGUGUGGUGGCUCACAUCUGUGCUCCUAGCUACUUGGGAGGCUGAGGCAGGAGAAUCACUUGAGCCCAGGAGGUUGAGGCUGCAGGGCACCAUGAACGCACCACUGCACUCCAGCCUGGGAGACAGAGUGAGACCCUGUCUCUA